CUUGGAGGUGACAGCAGGGCAGGCUCGGGAACAGGAUCGCUCUUUUUGUUCUGGUAAUAUGCCAGGCAUUUCCUCCAUCCGCUAUCCCAGUUUUCCAAUAAGAGGGAGGCCGGAGGUAUGCGCUGGGCGGGCUGGGCUUGCUUCUCUCUGGCGUUCCUCGAUGGCCUAACGGAGGCAGGAAUACCAGGGAUACGGUUUCCCUCUGGAAAACAGACAAAGACAUUCCAAGGAGGAACAGCUCAAGUGCCUACACAGCAAUAAUGUCUGCUUAAAAUUCUAGCCACGUAGACUAGAGUACCUGUGAAUCUCGCUGAGUUUAAGGUUUUGGGUGUAUAAUGUAACAGUUAAGAUUUCUUUACCAAAUAAACAAAUUUUGAAGUUA